UACGAGGGGUGCAAGCGUUGCUCGGAAUUAUUGGGCGUAAAGGGUAGGUAGGUGGUCUCAUUUUGUCUGGGGUGAAAGCCUUGAGCUUAACUCAAGAAGUGCCCCGGAAACGGUGAGACUGGAGUCUUGGAGAGGGUCGUGGAAUUCCCGGUGUAGUGGUGAAAUGCGUAGAUAUCGGGAGGAACAUCGAUGGCGAAGGCAAUCACCUGGGCCUGAACUGACACUGAGACACGAAAGCGUGGGUAGCAAACAGG
rnacentral:rRNA from 1 species